rnacentral:lncRNA from 1 species
CUCAGGCAGCUUUUGGUGGAAAGAUUUAUCGUAACAGACACAAGGUAGAGUCAUCUGAAAUAAGAGAACUUCAUUUGAGAAAAUGCCUCCAUAAGUUUGGGUUAUAUUCAGGACUUUAUGGCAUUUUCUCAAUUAGUGACAAAUACAGAGGGAUUCAGCUCAUUUUGGAUAGUGUCACCCAUGGACUGGUGCUUCUGGGUGCUAUGAGAAUCCAGGCUGAGCAAGCCUUGAGGAACAAGUCAGUAAGCAGCACUCCUCUACAGCCUCUGCAUCCAUGUCUGCCUCCAGGUUCCUAGCCUGUUUGAGUUCCUUCCCUGAGUUUCUUCAGUGUUGGACUAUAUUAUGGAAAUGUAAGACGGGCUGAGUUCCUGGUGGCUUUCCCCUUGAUUUUAUUUCAAGCACCUGUUCUUCAUGAGAAGGCAUAACUUGAAGCUGAGCAAGGCAGUAUUAUGAGAAAAGUUGGUGUCUGGCCUCCUUGGACCCUUCCCUGUGCAGCCUACAACCCUUUGUGAGCCUGCCAGUCAGAAAGACAAUGGAAGCAGAAUAUUUGAAAGCUCCACGCUGGACUCUAGCAGAGUGUGUUGAUCAGCAGUGUGAUCUGAGGCAGGUGACUCCAUUUCUCUUUGAGGCAACAUUCCUUAUCUGCAAUAGAAUGGUAGUGACACCUGUCAUCUACAGAAUGCAGG